CGGGAAUUACGUUCACUGGUCUUUACGAUGGUUAGUGUACCGAGGAGACUUCUGGCAACGAAAACUGGCUGACGUUUCGCCAACUAAACACCAACCGAACGCCGCGGACCGUACUUGAGCUAUUCAUUCAAAGCUGGCGCACCAGUACAGGCUGACUAUAAAAUCCCAACGGGCCGAAUCUACUUAGCAUCUCGUGAACGAGAAUGGUGAAUUUCACGUAAACGUCAUCAGUGUCUGAAGAGUAACGUGGCAUCGCGAGUGACGAGUACUUUUGACAGUUCUCAGCCUGUCGGAUAAAAUAAUAUUAUACAGACGCCAACUUUCACCAACAACCCUAAUCGUUUAAACAAUUGACAUACAAUGACAGAACGUAAUAGUUAUAACGAAUACCACACCAUACUAUUUCAACAGAUUUAAUCAAAACUAUCCUCGCCAUUUAACGAUAUACUUGGACAUGAAUAUAUUCUCGAUAUCGUUUUAAAUAAAAGUUAUCAGGUCAUACGAAUCCGAAAAUAACGCAACAAUCAAGCCGUCAGCGUGAAUUAAUUUUCUCGUCUCAGAGACGAAAAUACUGUUUACUAGUUGCAGGUCGCAAAAUUGAAACAGACUUGAUUAAUGAAAAAGGACGUCUUAAAUUGGGUUUAUCUGCUCUCCAGCAUCAAGAAUUCGAAAUAUCCGCCUGGGUUAGCCGAAGGCAUAGCGCGAAACGCGCGAUAUGUUAUUCUCUAUUAUUAAACAUGUUACCUGUACAACACCUGAGUCCACCUGUGGGUUAGCUGGACAGUCACGUGUUCGUUUUCAAUUCGACAUACUUAAUGUUUAUCAUACCAAAGCAACACUCGGAACACAAAAUACCCACUAAAGAUACAAACUCGAUACUACUUUCUCGAAAACAAAGGGACGACGUACCAGUGUAACAGUGGCAGUUCCGGAACCACGCCGAGGCAGAACUUUUUCAAACACCUGUAACACUUCUCUCACGACGAAGGGUGAAUCGUUAGUUUUUCGCACAAUGUUCCAAAUUCCUGUAGACACCACAGAUCACAGAGUCAUCGAAUCUUUAAAUAAAAAGAUCAUCGAUAGAUAUUCACACCUGGAAUACCCGAUUAAUUCUUCCUAGUUUCUAUGCAGCAACCAAUCACUGGCUCGUUAAUCUGUCUUAAUCUAAUUAAUAUAUACUGGUCUCGUAGCAGGAGACACAAACGGCGUCAACCACUCGAUACGCGUGGCAUACCCGAGGAAUCUACCGUUUCCCGACGAUACAUGGUCUCUGAUAAUCGAUAAGCAGCUGUUUGUCAUAAUACUGUCAUCGCUCGAUCGUUAACGCGGCUAUCGAAGUUAAUCUACGAGUUUCACUGCGCGUUCCUUGCGUGACAUUUACCACUGGCUGUCUAUCUUUUCCCGAACGGGUUACCGAUCGCCUCUCAAACAAUGUUCCGCGAAAGGGUAUCGAUUUGCUGGAAAAAAGAACCGAGCUAUGGGGGCGUUUUAUUCACUGCGCACUUCUAUUUAUAACACUGUAAGACACCAGCUUUCUCUUUCGUCGAUAGACAGUGCGUCACGAAGACAGUUCAACGAAUUGUCAGCGUCAGCUUCGCGAAGGACCGAUCCCAAACUUGGCUGGGUAAUCCGGGCUGCUCCACGACGAGGUUCCAGAAAUUCCCUUCCGUUUCCAUGAUAAAACUUCCACAAGUCGAGGGAUAGUUUUAUAUUUAGAAGGGAAACGGUCGUCUAGAGGACACCGACUGAAAGCUACAUCGUCAUGUGGGGUUCAAGCGGAUCCGUCUUGCGGUCUCGACGCUACGAGCUCAAGAAGCUUCCUGCUCCGAUACUGGCUGCGUGGAACGCCUAACUAUUCAGGCUACGCGUUGGGAGCAGUCAUUGUUC